UUGACGUAGACCCGAAACCGGGCGACCUACCCAUGAGCAGGAUGAAGCGAAAGUAAAAUUUCGUGGAGGUCCGAACCCACGAGCGUUGAAAAGCUCGGGGAUGACUUGGGGGUAGCGGUGAAAUUCCAAUCGAGCCCGGAGAUAGCUGGUUCUCCCCGAAAUAGCUUUAGGGCUAGCCUCAAGGUGAGAGAUACGGAGGUAGAGCACUGAAUGUCCUAGGGGG
rnacentral:rRNA from 1 species